GACGAACGCUGGCGGCGUGCUUAACACAUGCAAGUCGAACGGGCGCAGCAAUGCGUCAGUGGCGGACGGGUGAGUAACACGUGAGCAACCUGCCCAAAGCAGGGGGAUAACAUUCAGAAAUGGAUGCUAAUACCGCAUAAGACCACGUCUUGGCAUCAAGAAGGGGUCAAAGGAGAAAUCCGGCUUUGGAUGGGCUCGCGUCCCAUUAGGUAGUUGGUGAGGUAACGGCCCACCAAGCCCGCGAUGGGUAGCCGACCUGAGAGGGUGAUCGGCCACACUGGAACUGAGAAACGGUCCAGACUCCUACGGGAGGCAGCAGUGGGGAAUAUUGGUCAAUGGGGGAAACCCUGAACCAGCAACGCCGCGUGAGUGAAGAAGGUCUUCGGAUUGUAAAGCUCUAAAGAGGGGGAAGAAAAAAAUGACGGUACCCCUAAAGCAAGCCACGGCAAACUACGUGCCAGCAGCCGCGGUAAUACGUAGGUGGCAAGCGUUGUCCGGAAUGACUGGGCGUAAAGGGUGCGUAGGCGGCUUUAUAAGUUAGAAGUGUAAUACCCGGGCUUAACUUGGGUGCUACUUCUAAAACUAUAGAGCUUGAGUGUGGGAGAGGUAAGUGGAAUUCCUAGUGUAGCGGUGGAAUGCGUAGAUAUUAGGAGGAACACCAGCGGCGAAGGCGGCUUACUGGACCAUAACUGACGCUUAGGCACGAAAGCGUGGGGAGCAAACAGGAUUAGAUACCUUGGUAGUCCACGCCAUAAACGAUGGAUACUAGGUGUAGGGGGUAUCGACUCCCCUGUGCCGUCCCAAACGCAAUAAGUAUCCCGCCUGGGGAGUACGGCCGCAAGGUUG
rnacentral:rRNA from 1 species